CCACUUCCUGGUCCACAAAUCACAAUAAAAGCCUCAAGUCAGUGCCGAGCAAUCCGAAACUAGUCAAAGGUUGUACAAACCAAUUAAUAUUUGCUCAAAAGUUCAUAAUUUAACUAUCGAAAAAGGUCCAAAACUGCCCCUAAACUAAUGAAUAUAGAGCAAUUAUGCCCUCCGUUUGAUUUUGAUACCAAAAAUAUCCUUGCUGUUAAAUUACUGGACCACUUAUACCCCUAAAAACUCAUAGAGCUCCAGCUCAAAUUUGACACAUUUAAAAAGUAUGUUUAUGCUGAUGCAGAAGUCCAACUCAGAUGAAAUAUUUGAUAAUUCAAAGUGAAGUGUUAAGGGCUAGACUGAGCAUGGGCUAAGUAUUCCAUACCUGCUACACAACCUCCAUCAUUGUCGUUACACCACCGUCCUAAAAUACACAACUACCAUGUAUUGAAAGAUGGACAACACAUUAAAACCCUUACAAGCAUAUCCUUUCCAUUCUCCUUAAUCAGGAGGCAGGGCUGCUGGUGAUAAUAUUUUUGGCCAAGGACAAAAGAAAUUGAAUAUGGAGAGAGACAAAAUCGAUGAUGGUAGAGAGAGAAUUUGUGCGAUGGUCAAGGUAUGGAAGUCGAUGGCGCCGGUGAUUAUGUUUGGUGACAACAUUGCCGAGAGGAGGGAGGGCGAUGGUCAACUCGAGUUUUUCAUCCCGAGUGGUCAAAUGGAUUUUGAUUUGGUAUGUCGUUGUCAAUUUUUCACUAGAUAAUUAAGUCAUUCAUGGUGAACUGCACAUAAGAGCCUAUCCCCCUAAACGACUAGUUUGGUUUUAAAAGACUCCAGAUUUUGUUAUCAAAAUGUUGCAGUUCCUUUGCUAUGCGACACUGCAGCAAGAAGUAGGAAACUUUUUGUGUUCAAGUUUGGAUUGUUAGUACACUUCUUGUUGAUUUCUGUAUUUCUUAUAUGAAUUACUUGGUUUAUAAUUUUUAUUAUGGAUCUACAGUACUUGAUUAUCACUGUGUUCUAAAAGUUGUCAUUCGUAGUGAUCGCUUGUAAAUAAUAGACUUUAUUGUUUUAUGUUUAUGAUACUAGAGACCAAAAAAAGAUGAGCUUAUCCCCAAGAAUUACUAUGAAUUUAAUGGAGUUGCAAUCGAUGCAAUAUUGUUUUAUUGAAUGAUUUUCUUGUCUUGAAGGUUCUAUAUCCACAAGAUGAUUUCCCCAAUGGAAGUGUCACUGUAGAGGUUUUUCCAGCGAGUGAUAGACAGAAGAUAAGGUGUUGCCUUCACAUUGUAGGUGUCUGAAAGUUGAGUGGAAGGUGGAGUCAAAAAGUCAAAAAAGAAAAUCUUUUAAUGUGUCAAAUUUGAGCUGGAGCUCUAGUAGUUUUUAGGCGUAUAAGUGGUCCAAUAAUUUAUCAACAAGGAUAUUUUUGGUACCAAAAUCAAAUGGAGGACAUAAUUGCUCUAUAUUCAUUAGUU
rnacentral:lncRNA from 1 species